UAUUGCACAAUGGAGGAAACUCUGAUGCAGUGACACCGCGUAUAGGAAGAAGGUUUUCGGAUUGUAAACUAUUCUAGACAGGGAAGAAAAAAGACAGUACCUGUAGAAUAAGCUCCGGCUAACUACCUGCCAGCAGCCGCGGUAAUACGUAGGGAGCAAGCGUUAUCCGGAAUUAUUGGGUGUAAAGGGUGCGUAGACGGGACAGCAAGUUAGUUGUGAAAGCCCUCGGCUUAACUGAGGAACUGCAACUAAAACUAUUGUUCUUGAGUGCAGGAGAGGAAAGCGGAAUUCCUAGUGUAGCGGUGAAAUGCAUAGAUAUCACGCAGAACUCCGAUUGCGAAGGCAGCAUACCGGCGCCCUACUGACGCUGAGGCACGAAAGCGUGGGUAUCGAACAGG
rnacentral:rRNA from 1 species